rnacentral:lncRNA from 1 species
AUUUAACAAAGGUAACAAAUUUAAUAUAUCGUAUUUUAUAAGGCACACUUAAAUUCUUUUAAUUUUCAUAAAAAUCAUCAGUGUGCCUUAUAAUGCAGUGCUCCUUAUGUAUGAAUUUUAUCAGUCAGGUUAUAAGGAGCAGUUAUGGGCCUGUAGCCUGUUGCUAAGCCCGGCUAGCACUGAUGAAGCAGUAUUAGCAUUAGCUGCUAACCGCACUAAGUGCUAACUCUUUCACUAUUCAGAGUGGGUGGUCCCUGGAUAAACAUGCACAUGAGAAUACACUGAAGACCUGAAGACCCCGCCCCCCGGAAGACAUUCAUUCAUUGUGGUACAUUUUCGCUUCUGAAGCACGUCAACUAAUGAGAUACAAAUAAAGGGACUAACUUUGGUUAAAACAUGCAAUUCUGCUGUACUUAUCAGUGUUAUAUAAUUAGUAAUGAAUCAGGAGGUGUGCUGAGCCGUUACAGUGGAUAUACUCUGUAGAUGCAUAAACACAGGCUAAUGAGGAGACGGGCCAUUAUAUUGAGGGCGGCAGUGUUGAUAAAGACAUCCAAGGCAAUCAAUUCUCCUCAACAGAAACUAAUAGGGGUGAAUCUGGUUCCAGCCAGUGCCUAACCAAAUAAUCCCAGGUUGGUCAUUACACAGGUCCAGGGGAAACACCCACCUGGAAAGCAGAGUUACUCUACAUAACUCUACAUAAGAAUAAUCCCAUUCUUCCUCGUCCCACUGAACCCAAAUACUUGUUUCUGUACCUUUAAAUAAAUAUACAUAUAAUAAUACA